rnacentral:rRNA from 1 species
GUAGGUGGCAAGCGUUGUCCGGAAUUAUUGGGCGUAAAGCGCGCGCAGGCGGUUCUUUAAGUCUGAUGUGAAAGCCCACGGCUCAACCGUGGAGGGUCAUUGGAAACUGGAGAACUUGAGUACAGAAGAGGAAAGCGGAAUUCCACGUGUAGCGGUGAAAUGCGUAGAGAUGUGGAGGAACACCAGUGGCGAAGGCGGCUUUCUGGUCUGUAACUGACGCUGAGGCGCGAAAGCGUGGGGGAGCAAACAGGAUUAGAUACCCUGGUAGUCCACGCCGUAAACGAUGAGUGCUAAGUGGUUAGGGGGUUUUCCCGCCCCCUUAGUGCUGCAGCUAACGCAUUAAGCACUCCGCCUGGGAGUACGGCCGCAAGGCUG